CCUACGGGUGGCAGCAGUGAGGAAUAUUGGUCAAUGGGCGCAAGCCUGAACCAGCUAAGUCGCGUGAGGGAAGACUGCCCUAGGGGUUGUAAACCCCUUUUAUAAGGGAAGAAUAAUGACUACGUGUAGUCAGAUGCCCGUACCUUAUGAAUAAGCAUCGGCUAACUCCGUGCCAGUAGCCGCGGUAAUACGGAGGAUCCGAGCGUUAUCCGGAUUUAUUGGGUUUAAAGGGUGGGUAGGGGGUAUUUUAAGUUAGUGGGAAAACGGCGGGGAUAAACCUGGAAUGGCCAUUAAAACUGGAGUACUAGAGUGCAGACGAGGUAGGCGGAAUAAGUAAAGUAGCGGUGAAAUGCGUAGAUAUAACGAAGAACCCCGAUAGCGAAGGCAGCUUACCAGACUGUUACUGACGCUGAAGCACGAGAGCGUGGGUAGCGAACAGGAUUAGAUACCCCGGUAGUC
rnacentral:rRNA from 1 species